GCUUCUUUUUCCCCGGAGCUUGCUCCACCGGAAAAAGAGGAGUGGCGAACGGGUGAGUAACACGUGGGUAACCUGCCCAUCAGAAGGGGAUAACACUUGGAAACAGGUGCUAAUACCGUAUAACAAUCGAAACCGCAUGGUUUUGAUUUGAAAGGCGCUUUCGGGUGUCGCUGAUGGAUGGACCCGCGGUGCAUUAGCUAGUUGGUGAGGUAACGGCUCACCAAGGCCACGAUGCAUAGCCGACCUGAGAGGGUGAUCGGCCACAUUGGGACUGAGACACGGCCCAAACUCCUACGGGAGGCAGCAGUAGGGAAUCUUCGGCAAUGGACGAAAGUCUGACCGAGCAACGCCGCGUGAGUGAAGAAGGUUUUCGGAUCGUAAAACUCUGUUGUUAGAGAAGAACAAGGAUGAGAGUAACUGUUCAUCCCUUGACGGUAUCUAACCAGAAAGCCACGGCUAACUACGUGCCAGCAGCCGCGGUAAUACGUAGGUGGCAAGCGUUGUCCGGAUUUAUUGGGCGUAAAGCGAGCGCAGGCGGUUUCUUAAGUCUGAUGUGAAAGCCCCCGGCUCAACCGGGGAGGGUCAUUGGAAACUGGGAGACUUGAGUGCAGAAGAGGAGAGUGGAAUUCCAUGUGUAGCGGUGAAAUGCGUAGAUAUAUGGAGGAACACCAGUGGCGAAGGCGGCUCUCUGGUCUGUAACUGACGCUGAGGCUCGAAAGCGU
rnacentral:rRNA from 1 species